GUCAAGAACCAUGUUAACAAAAGGAAACUCCGAGCAGGAACCGUUCUUCAGGUGGCUUUCCUUUCGCUCAUCGUUCCUAUAUUUUAUUUCGCUUGUUUUUUACCAUCUUCCUUCUCUGUCUGUUUCAUGGUUGGGACGGUGGUGUGGCGCUGGGGCUGUCUUGCGGGUCGACCGGAGAGGGAGCACACCGAGUGGGCUUCUGAGAUGGCUGAGGGAUCUGUCUAGGGUUUCCUGGUUAAUCCAUUCUGAUUUUGGUCUGCUCAUGCUCUUGGCUUCUGGACCGUGGUGCUCGAGGUGGUCUGGCUGUCGUCGCCGCCCCUGCUCAAUGCUGCGCCACCCGUUUUCCCCGCCGUCGACGAGCUUCUCGGGCUCUUCAAUGAUUCUUACAAGGAGGUCAUAUGCAAGAGAGUAAGAGUUUUGAUGAAUUGCAGAGGCUGCUAAAAGACAGAGGCAUACAGUGUUUUUUUAUUCACUCAAUCAGGUUAAACACAGAACAAUGUAAG